GACAGAGGGUGCGAGCGUUAAUCGGAUUUACUGGGCGUAAAGGGCGCGUAGGUGGUUGAUUACGUCAGAUGUGAAAAGCUCGGGCUUAACCUGAGUAGGUCAUCUGAAACGGAUCGACUAGAGAACAGAAGAGGGAAGUGGAAUUUCCGGAGUAGCGGUGAAGUGCGUAGAUACCGGAAGGAACACCAGUGGCGAAGGCGGCUUCCUGGUCUGUUUCUGACACUGAGGCGCGAAAGCGUGGGGAGCGAACAGG
rnacentral:misc_RNA from 1 species